UACGAGUGCCCCAAGCGUUAUCCGGAAUCAUUGGGCGUAAAGGGUGUGUAGGUGGUUUUGUUAGUCUUCUGUUAAAUUCUCACGCUCAACGUGAGGCCAGCAGGGGAAACGGCAAGACUAGAGGGUGCGAGAGGUGAAUGGAACUCAUGGAGUAGGGGUGAAAUCCGUUGAUAUCAUGGGGAACACCGAAAGCGAAGGCAAUUCACUGGCGCAUUCCUGACACUGAAACACGAAAGCGUGGGUAGCGAACGGG
rnacentral:rRNA from 1 species